UUACUUUGGUGAGGACCUUAACCACUUCCAAGUGAUGGUCUAAACUGUUUCUUGCUUUGAAUCACGUUGUUACUGUACCCUAUGUUUCAGAUCAUUUACAAAUUUUAUUCUUACACUCUUUAAUGGAGCCGCCUUACUAAGUUAGUGGUGCGGCAUGGGACGUUCCAACAAUUAAAUUAUGAUGGAUUAAGUGAAAGUGCCAUUAGUUGGAAGUACCUGCAAUCUCUUCAGUUGAUCAAUUGCUCGAGUAUUUGGGAUGAAGCCUUAUGUGGUAUAACAAGAGGGUGCAGGAACUUGAAGAAGCUCGAUAUUUUCCAUUGUCCUGGGGUGGGGGAUGAAGGGAUAAUUUCUGUUAGUCGGAACUGUAAAUUUCUUACAGACCUCAUCCUAUGUUACUGCGACCAAAGCUGGGAGACAAAGGCAUGUCGGCAAUAGGUGUUGGCUGCCUAUUACUUAAGGAUUUGAAGAUAUCAGGCUGUGAACAGAUAACAGAUAUAGGUCUUGGCUUUGUAGCUAGAAACUGUAAAUUAUUAGAACCCUGCAGCAUGACGGAAUGCUGUGGGAUUUCAAGAACUGGAGUUGCAAACUUGAUUGGCAGUUGUC